rnacentral:rRNA from 1 species
AAUAGAUACCCUGGUAGUCCACGCCCUAAACGUUGUCAACUGGCUUUUGGGAGAAUCGACCCUUCCAGAGGCGAAGCUAACGCGUUAAGUUGACCGCCUGGGUAGUACGACCGCAAGGUUAAAACUCAAAGGAAUAGACGGGGGCUCGCACAAGCGGUGGAUCAUGAGGCUUAAUUCGUCGCUAAGCGAAAAACCUUACCAGGGUUAGAAAUCCUACUGCACGCCUCCCGAAAGGGAGGAAGCCUUCGAGGGUGUAGGACAGGUGAUGCAUGGCCGUCGUCAGUUCGUGGCUUGAGUUGUUCCCUUAAGUGGGGAAACGAACGCAACCCUCGUUGCCUGUUAUAAGUGUCAGGCGAGACAGCUCCCUCACGGGAGAGGAAGGUGAGGAUGACGUCAGGUCUGCAUGUCCCUCUGAUACCCUGGGCCGCACUCGUGAUACAAUGGUUGGUACAACAGGACGCAAUGUCGCAAGACGGAGCAAAUCCUUAUAAAGCCAACCCCAGUUCGGAUUGGGGUCUGCAAUUCGACCCCAUGAAGCCGGAAUCGCUAGUAAUCCCG